ACGGGAGGCAGCAGUGAGGAAUAUUGGUCAAUGGGCGGAAGCCUGAACCAGCCAAGUCGCGUGAAGGAUGAAGGUAUUAUGUAUUGUAAACUUCUUUAGCAGUGGAGUAAUAAGGGGAUCGUGAUCCCUGAUGCAAGUACACUGAAAAUAAGGAUCGGCUAACUCCGUGCCAGCAGCCGCGGUAAUACGGAGGAUCCGAGCGUUAUCCGGAUUUAUUGGGUUUAAAGGGUGCGCAGGCGGCUUUUUAAGUCAGCGGUAAAAUCGUGGGGCUCAACCCCAUCCUGCCGUUGAUACUGGAGAGCUUGAUUGCGGUUGAGGUUGGCGGAAUUCGUCGUGUAGCGGUGAAAUGCAUAGAUAUGACGAAGAACUCCGAUUGCGUAGGCAGCUGACCAAGCCGUAAAUGACGCUCAUGCACGAAAGUGUGGGAAUCAAACAGGAUUAGAUACCCUGGUA
rnacentral:rRNA from 1 species